GCGGGUCCCUUUCCUUCGCUCUCCGCCUCACCCACAACCGGAUUACAGCGGGCAAGAGAUAAAGAAUUGGUGGGAAACAGCGCCGGGUCUCCAAAUCAAAGCCCAUGUCGCUUCGGGAGUGCGACCCGCUUUAAUACUUUCAGCCUCAUCUAAGUUUUUUUAUUUUUUUUCUAUAUAAACGUAUCCAAAUAAUCUAUCGGAGGAAGAAGAAAGGCGGGCGGCGGGCGAAGGGCAUAACCAUGUCUUCCUCCUCCCUUUCCUUUAUCCUCCUUCUAUGCUAUCUGUUUCUCCUCCUCCUCCUAUCCUCCUCUGUCCCCGCGAGGGGUCGUCUCCUCCGCCUUCGCAAGCCCGAUCCGGCCGAUGCCGCCGCCACCGCCCGCUGGCUGGUCUCCCGUAACUCCUGGGGCGUUCUCAGCACCAUCUCAAGUGAUUUGGAGGGAGCUCCAUUUGGAAAUGUUGUUUCAUUCAGUGAUGGACCACCUGGUGAUGGCCGUGGCAUCCCAUACUUCUACUUGACAACACUAGAUCCAACAGCAAGGGAUGCACUGAAGGAUGAAAGGUCAUCUUUGACACUCAGUGAGUUUCCACUCGGAACUUGUGGUGAGACUGAUCCUGAGAAUCCCACUUGUGCGAAACUUACACUCACAGGGAAGCUGAAGCUUGUUGAUAGCCAGUCCAUGGAAGCAGAAUUUGCUCAACUCGCACUGUUUUCUAAGCAUGCAGAAAUGAAGGAUUGGCCAGAAGAUCACAACUUCCAAAUAUUUAAACUGGAUAUUGAGGAUAUAUUUUUGAUUGACUGGUUCGGUGGUCGCAAACCUUUAUCUCCAGCUCAGUAUUUUGACCCUGGAAAGAAACAACCUCUUCUUGAAUCCCAGGCAUGAAAGCCCACCUCAUAUUCAUGUCUUCAGGUUCCUGAAGCUAGUCCACCUUAAGCCAGCUCACCUGCAGAUUAUGGUGCAGCAAACUGCGAUCCACCUAAGAAGAACACGUGUUCACCAAUGUGAUCUGCCUCCCCCAAGGUUUACUUGGAGAAGUCUUAUCUUGUAAAGGGCAAUGUCGCUUAUCACUUUAAUAUCCCUACGGAGAAGCAGGACUUGCAGAGAUCUCCCUGUAAGAUUCUAGUGUGUAAGAUUGAGAAUGAAAUUGCACCACCGGCCGUUCAAUUGGCUUCGUUUCUGUAAUUUGGAACCUGGGGUUUGGAUCAAAGUCCAUAAGGGCAUGCUUGUGUGCCCCUAGACAGACAUAAAGCUUGCCUUUGUGGGUAACAAUAUUAUAGAUAUUGAUAUUCUUAGAAC